AACAGGAUUAGAUACCCUGGUAGUCCACGCCGUAAACGAUGUCGACUUGGAGGUUGUGCCCUUGAGGCGUGGCUUCCGGGGCUAACGCGUUAAGUCGACCGCCUGGGGAGUACGGCCGCAAGGUUAAAACUCAAAUGAAUUGACGGGGGCCCGCACAAGCGGUGGAGCAUGUGGUUUAAUUCGAUGCAACGCGAAGAACCUUACCUACUCUUGACAUCCAGAGAACUUAGCAGAGAUGCUUUGGUGCCUUCGGGAACUCUGAGACAGGUGCUGCAUGGCUGUCGUCAGCUCGUGUUGUGAAAUGUUGGGUUAAGUCCCGCAACGAGCGCAACCCUUAUCCUUCGUUGCCAGCGGUUCGGCCGGGAACUCAAAGGAGACUGCCAGUGAUAAACUGGAGGAAGGUGGGGAUGACGUCAAGUCAUCAUGGCCCUUACGAGUAGGGCUACACACGUGCUACAAUGGCAUAUACAAAGAGAAGCGACCUCGCGAGAGCAAGCGGACCUCAUAAAGUAUGUCGUAGUCCGGAUUGGAGUCUGCAACUCGACUCCAUGAAGUCGGAAUCGCUAGUAAUCGUGGAUCAGAAUGCCACGGUGAAUACGUUCCCGGGCCUUGUACACACCGCCCGUCACACCAUGGGAGUGGGUUGCAAAAGAAGUAGGUAGCUUAACCUUCGGGAGGGCGCUUACCACUUUGUGAUUCAUGACUGGGGUGAAGUCGUAACAAGGUAACC
rnacentral:rRNA from 1 species